rnacentral:sRNA from 1 species
UAGUAAAUCAUUACAGUCUGGCAGCAGUAGGUUGCAUAUAUAACGUUUGUGCCGAACAGUUAUAAUCACUAUGGAAAACGUUUGGUUAAUUUUGUCAGUUUGUGUUAUAUCUGCAGGAUAUAUUGUUUUUGAGCUACAAGCUUUAGGUAACAAAAUGAAGCUUUUCGAACACAAUUUAAGCGAACUAAAAAAUCAACAAAGUGCAGAAAGAAAAGAAAAUGAACACAUAUGGAACACUAUUUCCAGGUUGGAAAAGCAAAUAGACGAUUUAAGAAUGGAAUCUAAACGGCGAUAGAAAGGGAAAUGAAGAUUUUCAAAAGGAAUUAGUUUCGUUGGAAUUGCAAGUUAAACAUUUAAGUGGAGAAUUCACAUCUCAGCUGAAUAGAGAAAAAAUGAACAUUGCAGAUUUGCAAAGGGAAAUACAUCGAUUGCAAAAUAAACAGGAAGUUACAAAAAUUAAAAUGGAAAAAUUAGAUACUGAUGUAAAGAUUAGGGAUGAUAUCUUAAAAGACCUUGACAAAAAAGCAAUUUCAUUGCAUGAUGGUUUAGAAAACACUGUGACCGAAAUGCAAAAGUUACUAGGGCAAGUCACAAGCAUGGACGAUCAAAUAUUGGAUUUGAGAGAGAUAAUAACUACAUUGAGUAGAAAACAUGAAGCUUUCCUGGCUGACUAUAAUGGAGGUGGAUCAAUUCUCAAUAGUAUCAAGGCUGGGUUAUCUGCCAUCGUCAACAAACUGUAUGAAUAUGCUAGAUGGGCCACGGACAAAUUCCGUUCUACAUUAUCCUUAACUUAACAACGCUUUACUGAAGAUAAUAUUAUAAAGAAUUAAAAAUUUACAAUA